UUACAAUUAUCACUCAAAUACAUCUCAAUUCGAUCUUAAUUUAAUUCUAGUUAAAAUCCUAUUGGACUUCAUUCAAACUUUAGGCCAAAACUAAUUAAAUCUUAAAUCCUAAUAAAAAUCUAAAUCCUAAAUUAAAUCCUAAAAAAACCUUAAACCAAACUCCAACCAAAUCCUAAACCCUAAAUCAAAUCCUAACCAAACCCUAACCAAACCCUAAACCGAACCCUAAACCAAAUCCUAAACCCUAAAUGAAACCUUAACUAAACUCUAAAUCCUAAACCAAAUCCUAAAUCAAACUCUAACCAAAUCCUAAAUCCUAAACCAAAUCCUAAUCAAAUCCUAAAUCAAACCCUAAAUCCUAAAUGAAACCCUAAUCAAAUUCUAUACCCUAAACCAAAUCCUAACCAAAUCCUAAUCUAUACCUUAAAUCCUAAAUCAAACUCUAAAUC
rnacentral:lncRNA from 1 species